GAGAGGGGAAGUGUCGGUCCGCUCUUCACAGCUCAAGCGAGUGCGUGACAAAGAAAGAAGAGGGUGUGUCGUGUGUCAUGAGACGGCUGUGUGAUGGCCGACGUCUAAACGCUCCACUUACACACACUCUGGCUGCGGCCGCGGGCGUAGAUGGCAUCUCCCUUCACGGAGCUGGAGGUGUUGACGAUCAUGUUCUCUCUGCUGGUGUUCGCCCUCUUCACGCUCACGGGGAUGCUCCACGAGGACUGGGCCCGCUCCAAUGACAUCGACAGACGGCCACAGUGCGAGGAACUGAUCGUCUGACUGAGGAUGAAAAAGCUGCGAAGGAAGAAACAGCGGCCUCUCUCUCUUCCUGCCGGUCCCCACAGGACCUGUAGGCCAGAAGACGUGUGCGAGUGUGUGUCGUCACUAGAACAAGUCGAACUUGUGAUCUCUGACAGUGUGUGUGUGAGUGUGUGUGUGUGUGUGUGUGUGUGUGUGUGUGUGUGUGUGUGUGUGUGUGUAGGUGUGUGUGCGCGCGCGCGCGCGUGGACGCUGUCACUUUAUCCAGGCUUGCUUCCAGGAUGUGGCACAAAGGAGUGGCCUAGAUUGUACACUGUAAAAAGUUAAUAAACAAACAGCUGCUUCCACACACAG